AGUAGUCAUAUGGCUUGCUCUCAAAAGAUUAAGCCAUGCCAUGUGUAAGUAUGAACUAAUUCAGACUGUGAAAACUGCGGAAUGGCUCAUUAAAAUCAGUUAUUAGUGUUUGAUGUAUCUGCUACUCGCGAUAAACCGUAAGUAAUUCUAGGAGCUAAUACGUGCAACAAACCCCGACGUCUGGAAGGAUUGCAUUUAUUAGAUAAAAGGUCACGCGGGCUCUGCCCGUUGCUCUGAUGAUUCAUGAUAACUCGACGAGUCGCACGCCAUCGUGCCGGCGAGCAUUCAUUCAAAUUCUGCCCUAUCAACUUUCGAUGUAGGGAUAGAGGCCUACCAUGGUGAGGUGAGGGUGACGGAGAAUUAGGGUUCGAUUUCCGGAGGAGGGAGCCUUGAGACGGCUUACCACAAUCCAAGGGGAGGCAGCAGUGGCGCGAAUUACCCAAUCCCUGACACGGGAGGUAGUGACAAUAAAUACAAUACCGGGCUUUCUUCGAGUCUUGGAAUUGAAUGAGUAACAAUCUAAAAUCCCUUAACGAGGAUCCAUUGGAGGGCAAGUCUGGUGCAGCCAGCCGCGGUAAUUCCACUCCAAUAGCGGUUAUAUUUAAGUUUGUUUCUGCCAGUUAAAAAGCUCGUAUGGGACCAUUGGGGGGUCGACCGGUCCGCCUCAGCGGUGUGCAACUGUUCGCUCGUCCCUUCUGCCGGCGAUGCGCUUCCUUUAGGCUUAAACUGGCCGGUGGGUUCGCUGCCUCCGGCGCUGGUUACUUUGAAAGAAAUGUAGAGUGCUCAAAGCAAGCCUACGCUCUGGAUACAUUAGCAGGGAUACAUCAUAGAUUUCGGUCCUAUUGUGUGGCCUUCGGGAUCGGAAAGUAAAUGAUUAACAGGGACAGUCGGGAGGCAUUCGUAUUUCAUAGGUCAGAGGUUGAAAUUCUGGAUUUAUGAAAAGACGAACAACUGCGAAAGCAUUUGCCAAAGGAUGUUUUCAUUAAUCAGAACGAAAGUUGGGCGAGGGCUCGGAAGACGCAUCAGAUACCGUCCUAGUCUCAACCAUAAACGAUGCCGGACCAGGGGAUCGGCGGAUGUUGCUUUUAGGGACUCCGCCGCACCUAUGAGAAAUCAAAGCUUUGGCGUUCGGGCGGAGUAUUGGUCGCCAAAAAGCUGAACUAAAGGAAUUGACGGAAAAGGGCACCACCAGGAGUGGAGCCUCGGCUUAAUUUGACUCAACACGGCGGAAACCUUACCAGGUCCAGACAUAGUAAGGAAUUGGACAGACUGAGAGCUCUUUCUUUGAUCUAUGGGGUGGUGUGCAUGGCCGUUUCUUAAGUGGUGGAGCGAUUUGUCUGGUUAAAUUCCCGUUAACGAACGAGAACCUCAGCCUGCAUAAACUAGCUAUGCGGAGGUGACCUCGCGGCCAGGCUUCUUAGAGGGACUAUGGCCUGUUUUAGGCCAAGGAAGUUUUGAUGAAUAACAGGUCUGUUGAUGGCCCUUAGAUGUUCUGGGCCGCACGCGCGCUAACACUGAUGUAUUCAACGAGUUCUAUGAGCCUUUGGACCGACAGGCCCGGUAAUCUUUGAAAUUUUCAUCGUGGAUGGGGAUAGAUCAUUGCAAUUGUUUGGUCUUCAACGAAGGAAUUCCUAGUCAAGCGCGAGUCAAUCAGCUCGCUUGACUACCGUCACCUGCCCUUGUACACCACCUCCCGUCGCUCCUACCGAUUGAAUUGUCCAGGUGAAUAGUGUUGCGAGAUCGGCGGGCGAAACGUGCGCGCGUUCGGCCAGCCAAGGCACUGUCGCAGCGAAGAAGUCCACCUGAACCUUAUCUUAAUAGCAGGCAAGGGAGAAGUCGUAACAAGUUUCGUACCGGUGAGACCUGCCUGG
rnacentral:rRNA from 1 species